AACUUUUAGCAACGGAUCUCUUGGUUCCAGCAUCGAUGAAGAACGCAGCGAAAUGCGAUAAGUAAUGUGAAUUGCAGAAUUCAGUGAAUCAUCGAAUCUUUGAACGCACAUUGCGCCCCCUGGUAUUCCGGGGGGCAUGCCUGUUCGAGCGUCAUUACACCCCUCAAGCAUAGCUUGGUAUUGGGCUCUCGCCCCCGCGGCGUGCCCGAAAAGCAGUGGCGGUCCGGUGCGACUUUAAGCGUAGUAAAUUUCUCCCGCUUUGAAAGUUCGCCCCGUGGCCUGCCAGACAACCCCAUAUACUUCAAUAAUUGACCUCGGAUCAGGUAGGGAUACCCGCUGAACUUAAGCAUAUCAAUAAGCGGAGGCU
rnacentral:misc_RNA from 1 species